GACGAACGCUGGCGGCGUGCUUAACACAUGCAAGUCGAGCGGAGCGGCGAACGGGUGAGUAACGCGUGAGUAACUGCCCCCCUCUCUGGGAUAACAGUUGGAAACGGCUGCUAAUACCGGAUAGUGGGGGAUGACUCGCGGCCUAUCAGCUUGUUGGGGGGGUAGUGGCCUACCACGGCGAGGACAGGUAGCCGGCCUGGGAGGGCGACCGGCCACAUUGGGCUACGAUAGGGCCCAAACUGCAACGGGAGGCAGCGGGGGGGAAUAUUGCACAAUGGGGGAACCGCUGAUGCAGCAACGCCGCGUGCGGGAUGACGGCCUUCGGGUUGUAAACCGCUUUCGGCCAUGACGCGGUAGUGGCAGAAGAAGCACCGGCUAACUACGUGCCAGCAGCCGCGGUAAUAC
rnacentral:rRNA from 1 species